UCAGUAUUUAACACUCAAUUCAUACCACCUUCAGGAUUUAACAUCUAAUUCGCAUGGCUUUCGAAUUUCACCACUGAAAGUGUGAAUUCUUCUAUUUGGUACCCCUUUCAUCUCUUUUUCUGAAUUUAAUUUCUUUUCUCUCACUUUCUUCUCUCAAGAAACAUAAUAUUUCCCUCUUGCCCCUACGCCCACAGCACAGAAGUGAUCAAUCUCUUCUUUUGGGAUCGAUCGAUCCAGAUUAAGACAAAGAGAUGCCGUAUUGACCCUCUUUAGGACGCCGUUCUGCCACUUCCAUCCACGGGACAUCGUCAUAUCAUCCUUCUCCAGCGCUGGCUCGACCUGCUCCGGCUGAAGCGCACCCCACCGUUCACCGUUGGAACCACGACAUGAUUGUGUUGCAAGUAGGUUUCCAUUGUGGC
rnacentral:lncRNA from 1 species